rnacentral:rRNA from 1 species
UACGAAGGGGGCUAGCGUUGCUCGGAAUCACUGGGCGUAAAGGGUGCGUAGGCGGGUUUUUAAGUCAGGGUGAAAUCCUGGAGGCUCAACCUCCAGAACUGCCUUUGAUACUGAAGAUCUUGAGUCCGGGGAGGUGAGUGGAACGUGCGAGUGUAGAGGUGAAAUUCGAUAGAUAUUCGCAAGAACACCAGUGGCGAAGGCGGCUCACUGGCCCGGUACUGACGCUGAGGCACGAAAGCGUGGGGAGCA